AUGGCGCCAUGCCGAGCAGCCGUGGUGAUGACGAGAGCGACGUGCGCGCUGCUGCUACUGCUGCUCCUGUUGGCCGAUGUGCGGCCGCGGUCCGUGGCUGGGCAGGCGCCACCCGAGCCCGAGGCGGUCGCGACGAUCGAGGCGGAUGCCGACGGCCGCGGCAAUGGCACCCGCGGCGCCGGCGCCGGCGGGAACGCCGCGAGGAAGGUGCUGAGCACCAUCGACUGCCAGAUCUGCGAGGCGACGUGCCGGGUCAAGUGCCUCAUCAACAACCUCUUCCAGUGGGGCACUUGCUACCAGCGCUGCAAGGCCGACAACUGCAACGACUGGUGUAGGUAG
rnacentral:rRNA from 1 species